rnacentral:sRNA from 1 species
UCGGGGUUUCUGGGUGACGGUGAUCUCGGGGUGGGCAGGACUCCAAAGGCCCGUCGACCCGGUGGUGGACUCCUUGCACUGGGAUUGGACAUAUGCAAGCGGGAGAUUUGGGGCCGGCGCUCAAAAUCGGGGGGCGGGGGUGGAUUCGGGUUUGGACCCCAGGAUCCGAUCAGCGGACCCCUGAUUCAACGUGAGGCCCCGAAUUGACGUCCUUCCCUCAAAACCUCCGGGUCUACAAACCAGGACCCUCAAGACCCUUCAGGGCUCCAGCGUGACAUGGCUGAAGCGCACCAGGCCGUGGGCUUCCGACCCUCGCUGACCUCGGACGGGGCUGAAGUGGAGCUCAGUGCCCCUGUGCUGCAGGAGAUCUACCUCUCUGGCCUGCGCUCCUGGAAAAGGCAUCUCUCACGUUUCUGGAAUGACUUUCUCACUGGUGUGUUUCCUGCCAGCCCCCUCAGUUGGCUUUUCCUCUUCAGUGCCAUCCAGCUUGCCUGGUUCCUCCAGCUGGAUCCUUCCUUAGGACUGAUGGAGAAGAUCAAAGAGUUGCUGCCCGACUGGUGAGGUCCCCCCACUCCAGCCCAGUAACCCCCAGUCACUGUCCCUUCACCCAGUAAGUUCCUGUCAUUGUGGUGUACCUGCUAAAGAAAAGUAACCUCUGAGACUUACGUUGGGUCAGAUUAAUAAAGGUAUAGCAUGAAGAAAAAGGAGGUGAGGCCGGGCGCAGUGGCUCACCCCUGUAAUCCCAGCACACUGGGCAUUGGGAGGCCGAGGUGGGUGUAUCACUUGAGGUCAGGAGUUCGAGACCAGCCUGGCCAACAUGGUGAAACCUUGUCUCUACUAAAAAUACAAAAAUUAGGCCAGGCAUGGUGGCUCAUGCCUGUAAUCCCAGCACUUUGGGAGGCUGAGGCACGUGGCUCAACUGAGGUCGGGAGUUCAAGACCAGCCUGGCCAACAGGGUGAAACCCCGUCUCUACUAAAAAUACAAAAAAUUAGCUGGGUGUGGUAGCAGGCGCCUCUAAUUCCAG